CAACCCUUGUCGCAAGGCAAGGCUGAACUGGCAGAAGUAAGGCAGAGGCCAUAGUAUUCGAAACGAGGAAGGGC
rnacentral:ncRNA from 1 species